rnacentral:lncRNA from 1 species
GUUGGCAGGUAGCUGGGUAUGGAUGUGUAUUGGCCAAAUUUGUAUGAUAAAACAUGCAACUUUUCUGAAAAUUGCAUAUAUUUUUGGACUUGAACUGUACAUUACACAUACAAAAAAUUAGACAAAAAGGAUAGGCAAUUUUUUUUUAAUGUCACAAAACGUUAUAAAGAACUGAUAGAGGAAUUAAUUGUGGUCUUGGGCCAGCUUUGUU